AUGUUUUUGAAUGUCUCGUUUAUGAAAACUUCAUAGACCCCAGAGAUUCUCCAAGUUCAGCAAUUUUCUGCUUUUUCUGCUAUCUUUUAAAGUCUUUAUCAAAUAGUUUGGAAGAGAACACUCCAUUUCUCUUGACACUGGAUUGAUGGAUAAAGAUGUAAAUGCAGCGGGACUGGGGAUAUAAAAUGUCUGUAAAAUUAACUGUAAAAUUCUGCAAAUUCAUGACAUCAAAAUUUUGUAAAUAGAAAAACAAUUGAAUUUACAGUAAUAUUUUGGAAAAAAAACUAAAAAUACUGUUGUAAAACAGUGAACCAAACAAAACAGUUAAUUUUACAGUAAGAAUGUUAAAAUAAUUAUAUUUAUUUACAGAAUUUACAGAUUACUGCAAUUUAAACAGAAAAAACUAAUAUACAAAAAAGCAAUACAUUGCAAUUAAAAUGACAACAUGAGUGUUAAAGUUUUUUGUCAUGCAGAUUUUCAAUAGACUAUACAUAAUACAUACUAUUUAUAAAUUCAUGUUAGCUAUACUUUACAGAUGAUAAUAUGUUCAAGUUCAAAAAUUGUUAAAAGGCCUGUGAGGGGUGUAAAAUAGGCAAUGGGUCUGUUAAAGGCCUAACAAAAUCAGAAAUUGCAUAAAUUUUUAUCUGUUUUCCAAAUGGAAAGUUAAGGGUUAGUACAAUAUUAUAGAAAAAUGAAUUGAUUGUUAAUAAGAUGUAAAUAAAUUUUUUUAUUUUUUUUUUUUAUUUACAGAAUAAAUUCAUUUAGUAAUAUUUAUAAUGCCUUUUGUCCAUGUAAAAUUUACAUUCCUGUGUAAAUGAAUGUCUGCAUUUGAAUAUCAGCAGAUUUCGGAUUAUCAUGGAAGCAGCCAUUUUGACAAACUUCAAGGGUCGUUAGUGUUAGUCACACAGCAUUGCGCACCCCUGACAUUUACAAUUCUGCGGACAGCGAAGACAAUAAAGGCAUAAAGGUGUUUUUUCUACAUCAACCUGAAGACGACAAACACAUCCCGUGAACUUUACGUGAACCCAAGAGUCCUUACCUUGAUUCAGGAACUUUCAGAUCAUGAGUGGCGUGAUGUCUGAAACUCUAGAUAUGGUCAGUAGGAUUUAGUGCCACACUACCAGCUUAAAGAUUUGUUUUAGCUCCUAUGUUAGGUUCUUCAAGAUUAGGAGGCAAGAUAAUUUUUCAGACAAAAUUGUAACAGAUGAGUUUGUAUACAACUGUUACAGAGUUUAAAAGAGAAAGCAUUUUCCUCUUUCUUGCCCUCUCUUUCUCUAUUUUUUUACACUCUCUCAUCUGUUUCCUUCCAUCUCUUUCCCUCCAUCUUUCCUCUUUCAGUUCCAAUAAGAUGAUCAUUAAUCUGUCAUAUGCUCUUAUUGUAUUGUAUGUAAAAGAAGUACACUACAUAUUACAAACUUGUACAGUAUGUUGAGAAAUGACAGUUUUGUUAACUGCUUUGUUUAAUAAAUUCUUCACAAGACAGGUUUUCUGAGUUUUUAAUUUCAAUUCAGCAGA